rnacentral:rRNA from 1 species
GAUGAACGCUGGCGGCGUGCCUAAUACAUGCAAGUCGAGCGAACGGACGAGAAGCUUGCUUCUCUGAUGUUAGCGGCGGACGGGUGAGUAAAACGUGGAGAAACUACCUAUAAGACUGGGAUAACUUCGGGAAACCGGAGCUAAUACCGGAUGAUAUUUUGAACCGCAUGGUUCAAACGUGAAAGACGGUCUUGCUGUCACUUAUAGAUGGAUCCGCGCUGCAUUAGCUAGUUGGUAAGGUAACGGCUUACCAAGGCAACGAUGCAUAGCCGACCUGAGAGGGAGAGCGGCCACACUGGAACGGGGACACGGUCCAGACUCCUACGGGAGGCAGCAGUAGGGAAUCCUCCGCAAUGGGCGAAAGCCUGACGGAGCAACGCCGCGUGAGUGAUGAAGGUCUUCGGAUCGUAAAACUCUGUUAUUAGGGAAGAACAUAUGUGUAAGUAACUGUGCACAUCUUGACGGUACCUAAUCAGAAAGCCACGGCUAACUACGUG